rnacentral:rRNA from 1 species
UACGGGGGGGGCAAGCGUUGUUCGGAAUUACUGGGCGUAAAGGGCUCGUAGGCGGUGUGUCGCGUCGGCCGUGAAAACCUGCAGCUUAACUGUGGGCUUGCGGUCGAUACGGGCAUCACUGGAGUUCGGCAGGGGAGACUGGAAUUCCUGGUGUAGCGGUGAAAUGCGCAGAUAUCAGGAGGAACACCGGUGGCGAAGGCGGGUCUCUGGGCCGAUACUGACGCUGAGGAGCGAAAGCGUGGGGAGCGAACAGG